UUCCUGGUGUUGAGUCAGAAUCUCCUUUCUUGUAACUUGAAUCCAAUGGUUCGAGUCCUACCCUCCAGAGCAGGAGAAAACAAGUUUGUUCCCACUUCCAUGAAACAGCCCUUGAGAUAUUUGAAGAUGGCUAUCAUCUUUCCUCUCAGUCUCCUCUUUUCCAGGCUAAACAUACCCAACUCCUUCAA